rnacentral:lncRNA from 1 species
AUCCGGGCUCUACUGGUGAAAAUAACUGCAGACGGCUGGUAAAAAGUUGGAAUAGCUUUCGUUAAGCGUCGGAUGUGUAGAGUGCUGAGUUAGGGGCUGGACUAGAGACGUUGGGACAUCUCCCGGGAACAGCAGCCUGGAGGGGAAAAAUCUCCUGACCUAAGUGGUCAUUCGGCCUUGGCGCUUGGACACGGGAGUGCGGCGACAGCCAUAUGUCCAUCCAUCUUGGCACUUUUCCGUCCUCUGCCUUUGAAGAUGGGUGUGCCCGGCAGGCUGUGAAAGAUAAACAUUAGAGGGUUGUUUAGAAGACUUUUUUGACCUGAGCCCAUGAGGUGCAUACCCUUUGUUUGGCGGAGAAACCAGUGGCUUCUGAAGAUCAGGGACGGGCCACAAGUGCGAGGCAUUGCAGACAUUUCGAACCCAGACUUCCAGCCUGGAGACAUCCACACGCUUCCAGUUUCUUGCACUGGUACUUCAUUCUGUCAUUAUGAUUGCCACCACUCGUAACUGAGAGUUGCGUGCCCUCAAGUUUUGAGUGUCUGCAGGGUACCUUUGAGCUUUCUUAGCUGUGUAGUGAGUGGGGGGAAUGGAGAAAAUGAAGGACAGAUGACUGAUUUGUAGUUUUUCAUUUGGACACUGUCCUUGCCGCACAAGCACAGCAGCUUGAACCUCUUUGAACAAGAGUCGAGAGUUCUUUUACAGCUAAUUACCCACUAGUUAAACUUGAUCAUACUGUGCUGUUUUCUUCCUCUCCAUUGUCAAUGUAAUACGGCUCCUGACAAAAGUUAAAUUCGCUGGGCGUGGUGGCUCACCCCUGUACUCCCAGCACUUUGGGGGCUGAGGCGGGUGGAUCACCUGAAGUCAGGAAUUCAAGACCAGCCUGGCCAACAUGGUGAAACCCCGUCUCUACUAAAAAUACAAAAGUUAGCUGCGUGUGGUGGCGGGCGCCUGUAAUCCCAGCUACUCAGGAGGCUGAGGCAGGAGAAUCGUUUGAACCCGGGGGGGCGGAGGUUGCAGUGAGCUGAGAUCGCGCCACUGCACUUCAGCCUGGGUGACAGAGUGAAACUCCGUCUCAAAAAAAAAAAAAAAAGCCGGGCGCUGUGGCUCACACCUAUAAUCCCAGCACUUUGGGAAGCCGAGGGGGGAGGAUCUCGAGGUCAGGAGUUGGAGACCAGCCUGACCAACAUGGAGAAACCUCGUCUCUACUAAAAAUACAAAAUUAGCCAGGCGUGGUGGUGGGCACCUGUAAUCCCAGCUACUGGGGAGGCCGAGGCAGGAGAAUCCUUUGAUCCCGGGAAGCAGAGGUUGCAGUGAGCCGAGAUCACACCAGAGAUGCACGCCAGCCUGGGCAACAGAGCAAGAUUCCUUCUCGAAAAACAAACAAACAAACAAAAAAACAGUUCAAAAGACACAGAAUGGACUGGUGGCGAUGGCCCACGCCUGUAAUCCCAGCACUUUGGGAAGCCAAAGCGGAAGGAUCGCUUGAAGUCAGGAGAACAGCCUGGGCAGCAUAGUGAGACCUCGUUUCUACUUAAAACAAAAACAAACAAACAAACAAAAAAACAACAGGUGUGGUGACUUAGACCUGUGGUCCCAGCUACUCAGGAGGCUGAGAUGGGAGGAUCACUUGGGCCCCAGCCGUUGAGGACUGCAGUGACCUAUGAUCGCACCACUGCUCUCCAUCCUGGGUGACAGAGUGAGACCCUGUCUCAAAAAAAAAAAAAAGCACAGGAUGUAAAAUCAGGCAUUAGGUUUGCUAUUCCUACAUGUAAACUUAUGGAACAUUUUCUUGUUUCCUUUCAUUUUGUUUUACAAAAAGGAUGAUCCCAUUGUUAACUUUUUCUCUUUACCACUUAGUGGAUGCCUUCCACUGUCUCACCACAAUCUUAUCCUUUUAAGCAGUUGCCUAUCAGGUGUCUCCACUGCUCACAUUUGGGACAAAAAUAAUGCAAUGUGCAGUCGCUCACGCCUGUAAUCCCACCACUUUGGGAGGCCAAAGUGAGCAGAUCACCUGAGGUCAGUAGUUUGAGACCAGCCUGGCCAACAUGGUAAAACCCCAUCUCUACUAAAAAUACAAAAAAGACUGUCUCAAAAUUUUUUUUUAUAAAAAUAAUAAUGCAAUGGUUAUCCAACCGUGAGAAUUCGGAGGAGACCUUGUUAAAACACAUUUCUGGGUGUCUCUAGGAUUGUUUUGCAUUUGUAACAAGUUCCCAGGUAAAGUUGCUCUUGCUUAUUGAGGAGGACACUUUGAGAACCACCACCAUAAAGGGUCAUAAAACGCAAUUAAAAAAAAAAUUCACAGUAAAACAAAAAAGGGUGGGUGUAAGGCCCUGCAUGGUGGCUGAUGCCUAUAAUCCUAGCACUUUGGGAAGGCGAGGCAGGCAGAUCACUUGAGGCCAGGAGUUUGAGGCCAGCAUGGCCAACAUCGCGAAACCCCAUCUCUACUAAAAAUACAAAAAUUAAUCAGGCACAGGGGCACACGCUUGUAAUCCCAGCUACUCGGGAGGCUGAGACAGGAAAAUCGCUUGAACCAGGGAGGCUGAGGUUGCAGUGAGCCAAGAUAGCACCACUGCAUUCCAGCCUGGGUGACAGAGUGAGACCCUGUCUCGGGGGGUGGGGGGAAAGGGUGGGUGUGGGUAGGGAGCUAUCCAUUAAAAAGUCAAUAAUAAAGAUAGAAGAGAUGAUAGAAUUAGAAAACUACCAUCUUACCACUCCCAGGGAGAUAAAUGUCAGGAAAGUAUAAUUAAUGAGUGCUAAAACUAGAGACCAGCACUUCAGAGGAAUGUUAUAGCUAGUGGUUACCACCUUAACCAGAUGGUCAAAAUUGGUAUCAAAAAUGGUAUAACAAUCUGAUGUCUGAUUCUAAUAUAAUGCAUGAGUUGUACACAUCACCUAUAUUGCCAAAUGUGUAACCUGAACUUAACUGUGCUGAAAACAUGAGACAAGAAAUCCAGACUGAGGAACAUUCUACAAGACAAUUCAUGUCUAUGUCCUGAAACACAGAAAACAGGGCAGUUGUUCUAUAUAGAAAAACAAACCAUGAUUGAAUCUUGGAUUGGAAAAGGAAAAAAAAUAAAAGCCCUAAUACAUUUUUGGAACAACUGAGGAAAUUUGAAUAUGUUCUGCAUAUUAGAUAUUAAGUUACCAAUUUUCUUAGUGUGAUAGGAUUGUGGCAGGGUUUUUUUUUUUUUUUUGAUUUUUAGAGUCAUGGUCUCACUCAGGUUGAACCACAGGCCACCAUGCCUGGCUAAUUUUUGUAGAGACAGUGUCUUGCGCUGUUGCCCAGGCUGGUCUUAAACUCCUGGCCUCAAUUGAUCCUCCUACCCUGGCCUCCCAAAACACUGGGAUUACACCGCUGGUGUGGUGGCUCAUGCCAGUAAUCCCAGCACUUUGGGAGGCUGAGGCAAGAGGAUCUGUGGAGCCCAGGAGUUCGAGACCAGCCUGGCCAAGAUUUAAAACAAAAACAAUCAUGGGAUUACAGAUGUGAGCCACUGUGCUAGCAGAAAGAUGCCUUUUUAACAUGCCACAUCUUCAGUAACAUUAAAAAUCACCAGGCACACUUGGUUUAUCAACCAAGGAAAGCACAUACCUUUCCUUCUUUUCUUUACUUUCCUUCCUUUCCUUACUGUUCUGAGGCUUUUUAAUAAAAUUUCACUCCUGCUCUGAAACUUGCCUGGGUUUCUUCUUCUGCCUUAUGCCCCUCAGUCAAAUCCUUUCUUCUGAGGAGGCAAGAAUUGAAAAUUCUUAAAAAAACACCCAACAUCAAGCUGACAAAAAAUAAAUAAAUAAAAUCUCAAAAGAUAUUGACUGGCCAGGUGCGGUGACUCACACCUUUAAUCCCAGCACUUUAGGAGGCCGCGGUGGGCAGAUCACGAGGUCAGGAGUUCGAGACCAGCCUGACCAACAUGGUGAAACCGCAUCUCUACUAAAAAUACAAAAAUUAGCCAGGCGUAGUGGCAUGCGCCUGUAAUCCCAGCUACUCAGGAGGCUGAGGCGGGAGAAUCACUUGAAUCUGGGAGGUGGAGGUUGCAGUGAGCCAAGAUUGCGCCACUGCACUCCAGCCUGGGUGACAGAGACACCAUCUCAAAAAAAAAAAAAAAAAAAAAAAAGAAAAGAAAAGAAAAAGAAAAAGAUAUUGACUGGCCAGGUGCGGUGGCUCAUGCCUGUAAUCCCAACAGUUUGGGAGGCCGAGGCUGGCAGAUCACUUGAGGUCAGGAGUUCGAGACCAGCCUGGCCAACAUGGUGAAACCCCCUCUCUACUAAAAAUACGAAAAUCAGCUGGGCAUGGUGGUGAACACCUGUAAUCCCAGCUACUCGGGAGGCUGAGGCAGGAGAAUUGCUUGAACCAGGGAGGCAGAGGUUGCAAUGAGUCGAAAUUGUGCCAGUGCACUACAGCCUGGGCAACAGAGGGAGACUGUCUCAAACAAACAAACAAAAGUACACUCCACAGGGUGGUAGCAGGCCAAGCAUAGGGUCCCAAGAGCCAGGUUACAGAAUUUUCUGGGGUUUAAAUACCCUCUAGAGGUUUCCCAUUGGCCACUUGGUAUACACCCCAUGCAAAUAAAGUAGUGUCCCACAAUUAGUAUGAUUGGUUGUAGAAAGCAGCCAAUCAGAAGUACUUUCCACUUUCCAUCUGCCACACAGGAAAAGGGGGGUGGGGGUUUGCAAAGGGAGUACCCUCAGGUCCAUUUGUUACUUAAGUGUGGAAAGUUGGGGUUUUCCUUUUGAUUUAGUUCUAGGAAGUCAGCGUGAAUCUGCCUUAGGUUCCCUGCCUCCAGACCCUAUUCUAUUGCCUCACUUUCAUGACUAAAAUAUAGAAAAUAUUUAAACUAGAAAAUAAAGGAGAUGGUGGGAAUAAUGUAAAAGCUACAACCACAAAAUAAAAAUGGUAGAAAUGGUAACACCAAAAACUAGUUCUUUCAAAAGGCCAAUGAAAUAAUCUCAUGGGCAAGUCUGAUUAGAAAACAAAAGUACUCAACAUCAGGACUGAGAAAGAAGAUAUAACUGUACAUUCAGAAGAGAUUAAUUUUGUCAUGGUCCUCUACAACUAUAACUUUAAAAAUCUAGAAUGGAUGAUUUUUUUUUCUUUUUUUUUUUUGUAAGAGGCAGGGUCUUGCUGUGUCACCCAGCUUGGAGUGCAGUAGCAUGAACAUAGCUCACUAUAGCCUCAAACUCCUGGGCUCUAGUGAUCCUCCUGCCUCAGCAUUCUAAGUAGCUAGGUCUACAGGCACAUACCACCAUGACUGCCGGGCUAAUUUUUUAAAUUAUAUAUAUAUUUUUUCUAAUAGAGACAGGGUCUCACCAUGUUGCCCAGGCUGGUCUCAAAUUCCUGGGCUCAAGCAAUCCUCCUGACUAGGCCUCCUAAAGUGCUAAGAUUCGAUUUUUUAUAUUUUUUUAGAGACAGGGUCUCACUAUGUUGCCCAGGUCAGUCUUGAACUCCUGGCCUCAAGCAAUCCUCCUGCCUCAGCAUCCCAAAGUGCUGGUAUUAUAGGCAUGAGCCACCAAACAUGGACAUAAUUUUCUAUUGUUGCAGGGUGGGGGCGGGGGCCAGGGGAACAUCUCUAAAAGAGCGAUUAUAUCAUACAGAGAGAAAAAUUUUUAGAGACCAAAAAAGCAUGGAAUAUCUACCAUUUUAUUUUUUGAGACAGGGUCUCACUCCCACACCCAGGCUGGAGUGCAGUUGCGUGAUCUUGGCUCACUGUAGUCUUGACUUCCCUGGCUCAGGGAUUCUCCCACCUCAGCCUCCUGGGUAGCUGGAAUCACAGGUGCACUCCAGUACGCCUGGCUAAUUUUUGUAUAGAUGAGAUUUCGCUAUGUUGCCCAGGCUGGUCUUGAGCUCCUGGUCUCAAGCAGUACACCCGCCUCAGGCUUGAAAAGUGCUGGGAUUACAGGUGUGAGCUACUGUGACUGGCCUAUUAUAUUUAAUAGCUCCAGGACAAAGGACUUUACUGUUUAAUUUAGCUAGUUUCCAACGAAUGAAUGGGAACUUCAAAUGAUUUAAGGCUUUAAAAAGAUGAAACUGGCCGGGUGUGGUGGCUCACGCCUGAAGUCCCAACACUUUGGGAGGCCCGAUCACCUGAGGUCGGGAGUUCGAGACCAGCCUGAUCAACAUGAAGACACCCUGUCUCUAAUAAAAAUACAAAAUUAACGGGCAUGGUGGUGCAUGCCUGUAAUCCCAUCUACUCGGGAGGCUGAGGCAGGAGAAUCCCUUGAACCCAGGAGGCAGGGGUUGCAGUGAGCCGAGAUUGUGCCAUUGCACUCCAGCCUGGGCAACAAGAGUGAAACUCCGUCUCAAAAAAAAAAAAAAAAAGAAAGGAAGAAACCGGCCAGGCGCAGUGGCUCACACCUGUAAUCCCUGCACUUUGGGAGGCCAAGGCAGGCAGAACAUGAGGUCAGGAGAUAGAGACCAUCCUGGCCGACAUGGUGAAACCCUGUCUCUACUAAAAUAAAAAUUAAAAAAAUUAGCCAGGCGUGGUGGCAUGCGCCUGUAGUCCCAGCUACUCGGGAGGCUGAGGCACGAGAAUCACUUGAACCCGGGAGGCAGUGAGCCAAGAUCGUGCCACUGCAUUCCCGCCUGGCGACAGAGCAAGAUUCUGUCUCAAAAAAAAAAAAAAAAAAAAGAUGAAACCCUCUCUAAUCUACCUUAAGGCUAGUAAAAUAAAACAUGAG